rnacentral:rRNA from 1 species
AUCUAAGUACCCCGAGGAGAAGAAAUCAACCGAGAUUCCGAUAGUAGCGGCGAGCGAAAUUGGAUUAGCCCUUAAGCUUUACAUGCGUCAGGUGAAGGUUCUGGAAAGGACCGCGAAACAGGGUGAUAGCCCCGUAGCCGACAGCGCAUGUUCAGUGAAAUCGAGUAGGGCGGGACACGUGUUAUCCUGUCUGAAUAUGGGGGGACCAUCCUCCAAGGCUAAAUACUCCUGACUGACCGAUAGUGAACCAGUACCGUGAGGGAAAGGCGAAAAGAACCCCUGUGAGGGGAGUGAAAUAGAACCUGAAACCGUGUACGUACAAGCAGUAGGAGCCUCCUUUGUGGGGUGACUGCGUACCUUUUGUAUAAUGGGUCAGCGACUUAUAUUCAGUGGCAAGGUUAACCAUUUAGGGGAGCCGUAGGGAAACCGAGUCUUAACUGGGCGUUCAGUCUCUGGAUAUAGACCCGAAACCGGGUGAUCUAGCCAUGGGCAGGUUGAAGGUUGAGUAACAUCAACUGGAGGACCGAACCGACUAAUGUUGAAAAAUUAGCGGAUGACUUGUGGCUAGGGGUGAAAGGCCAAUCAAACUCGGAGAUAGCUGGUUCUCCCCGAAAGCUAUUUAGGUAGCGCCUCGGACGAAUACUACUGGGGGUAGAGCACUGUUAAGGCUAGGGGGUCAUCCCGACUUACCAACCCUUUGCAAACUCCGAAUACCAGUAAGUACUAUCCGGGAGACACACGGCGGGUGCUAACGUCCGUCGUGGAGAGGGAAACAACCCAGACCGCCAGCUAAGGUCCCAAAUUACAGCUAAGUGGGAAACGAUGUGGGAAGGCUCAGACAGCUAGGAUGUUGGCUUAGAAGCAGCCAUCAUUUAAAGAAAGCGUAAUAGCUCACUAGUCGAGUCGGCCUGCGCGGAAGAUGUAACGGGGCUAAGCUGUAAACCGAAGCUGCGGCAAUGCGAUUUAUCGUAUUGGGUAGGGGAGCGUUCUGUAAGCCGUUGAAGGUGUGUUGUAAAGCAUGCUGGAGGUAUCAGAAGUGCGAAUGCUGACAUGAGUAACGACAAGGGGGGUGAAAAACCUCCCCGCCGGAAGACCAAGGGUUCCUGUCCAACGUUAAUCGGGGCAGGGUAAGUCGACCCCUAAGGCGAGGCCGAAAGGCGUAGUCGAUGGGAAACGGGUUAAUAUUCCCGUACUUCUUACAAUUGCGAUGGGGGGACGGAGAAGGCUAGGUGGGCCUGGCGACGGUUGUCCAGGUUCAAGUGCGUAGGCUUGAGGGUUAGGUAAAUCCGGCUCUCUUUAAGGCUGAGACACGACGUCGAGCUACUACGGUAGUGAAGUCAUUGAUGCCAUGCUUCCAGGAAAAGCCUCUAAGCUUCAGAUUGUAAGGAAUCGUACCCCAAACCGACACAGGUGGUCGGGUAGAGAAUACCAAGGCGCUUGAGAGAACUCGGGUGAAGGAACUAGGCAAAAUGGUACCGUAACUU